ACCUAAAUAGCUUAUGUAUAUAGAGUAUAACAUUGAAGAUGUUAGGGAAGUAAUUUUACUUUUAGGUA
rnacentral:tRNA from 1 species